ACUAACAGGUAACGACUGAGGACUCUCGGCGGAACUGCCGGUGGACAAACCGGAGGAAGGUGGGGAUGACGUCAAGUCAUCAUGGCCCCUAUGUCCAGGGCUACACACGUGCUACAAUGGGCGAUACAGAGUGACGCGAAGCCGCGAGGUGGAGCAAAUCCCAGAAAACCUGUCUCAGUCCGGAUUGAAGUCUGCAACUCGACUUCAUGAAGGCGGAAUCGCUAGUAACCGCGAAUCAGCAGGUCGCGGUGAAUACGUUCCCGGGCCUU
rnacentral:rRNA from 1 species